CCAUGGGAAUACUAAGUGUUGUUCAACAACCUUCAGGGUUUUUCAAAGAUUAUUUGACGUAUCUUUCAGAAGGACCGAUGCUCUGUGACCUGAAUGUGCCCUAACGUAUGGAAGCAAAGAGACAGAAGUAUUUGAUUGAAAUUAUUUUAUUAGGAAUAACCCCUUGAGAUGUAGCAUCUAAUUUUCAGUACAUUCACAAUUAGACAAGACGGUUAACAAAAUAACACCAACAAAAAAAGAAGAAGAAAAAAAAGCAAUACAUAUCAGGAAAAAAAAAGGCAUCAAAAUCAGGCAAUCGUACUCAAUGUCUUAGCCGAGCAAGAAUUAAAUUGCCAAUGCUGCUGUCUUCUUAUUGAAGGUGAAGUUGUUCAUACUGUACAUAAUAGAAUGAUGAGUUGUGAAAGGACAUCCAAGAAUAAAUCUACAGUCUAUUGUAAACAUGGAGAGGGAGGAGAUUAGUGUUGGGUGCAACUUGAUAUACAACAUAGGCAGGGUGCGAUUUGUGAAAAAAGCGGAGGGGGGGGGGGGAUGUCUUUUGAUCAUGCACAACAAAACAAAACAUGCAAAAAUGAAAUCCCCCUUCCAGUACCACCAUGGAUAUAGAGCCACUCGACCAACCAUGCCAAAACACUUAUUUAUGAACUUCAAUAUCCAAA